rnacentral:rRNA from 1 species
AUUGAACGCUGGCGGAAUGCUUUACACAUGCAAGUCGAACGAUGAACCUUAGCUUGCUAGGGGGAUUAGUGGCGGACGGGUGAGUAAUAUAUCGGAACGUAUCCAUUAAUGGGGGAUAACUAAGCGAAAGCUUGGCUAAUACCGCAUACGCCCUGAGGGGGAAAGCUGGGGAUCUUCGGACCUGGCGUUAAUGGAGCGGCCGAUACCUGAUUAGCUAGUUGGUAGGGUAAAAGCCUACCAAGGCAACGAUCAGUAGCUGGUCUGAGAGGACGACCAGCCACACUGGGACUGAGACACGGCCCAGACUCCUACGGGAGGCAGCAGUGGGGAAUUUUGGACAAUGGGGGAAACCCUGAUCCAGCCAUUCCGCGUGAGUGAAGAAGGCCUUCGGGUUGUAAAGCUCUUUCG